UUCUUUUGGUCUCCGCUCUAGAGAGUUCUCUGCUACUCUGAAGCUCUGCUGCCUCUGAAAACCCGUCAGUUCUGCCAUUCUUUUUGUUUUCCGGGACUCGAACCGUGGACUCUCUUCAAGACUACUCAUGUCAUGAUCAGUUAUCUCUUUCGAACGUUUUAUUACAAGUUUCUUCUGAGGCUGUUCUCUUUCUGUAGGCGGUCGUAUCACCAGGUGAGGCCUACGAGAUUCAGCUUGAUCUCUAUCCAUGCUUGAAGAUGGCUGCAGAAUAGAUAUAGUGUGCCUGCUUGAGGCAGCUUGAUUUCCAGAGACGCAAGGCUUGUGAGAUUCGCUCUCCCCUCUCUCUCUGCUAUAUGUAGGCAAAGGUCUGUCAGAUUCAACAUUCGAUUCUUUAGGUUUUGCCUUGCUUGAAAUCUUGAGUUUGCUGAUCUUAGAUGUGGUCUUGGUCCCAGUGUCUAUGUCCGACACUGCUGCUUGCUCAGAACUUCCUGGAGCUUCUAAACCAGGUGUAUCUGACAUCGCUCCAGCAGGGAUACCAUAUCUAAACUUCAGAGGGAGACCCCCAGUUUUGUAAGUGGAACUAUCUCCCUUGGGAGUUGCAUCUACGGUGACUUUUAUUGCACUUUUCGGCGCAGCCUUGGUGCUCUUGAUAGGUUUAAUCUUGGCCUGACCUGAUAGUUCUGAAGUACUCGGUUUUCCCACGGACUUCUCCAUAUCUACACCUUCGGGUUGUGGAUCUGUAUUUUCUCUGUAUCUUGGGCAGUGUUUAUUGGUUCUCAUGUGCCCAUACUGUCCAUGAAAAUAAAUAAUCAAACACUCCUUUCAAACAAGCAAAGUUUAGAUUCAUAAUCUAGUCACAAAUAAACAGAUAUACCUGACCACAGGCUCCACAAACAAAAUUCUCUCUGGCCGAUUUCUUUUCCUUGAAUACCUUAGACCACGAGAACAGGCAAAACUUCAGAAUUGACCAUAAAACUAUUAGAAUAAAUUUAACUAUACUGUAGAUUGUUAUACUCAUUUAAUUGUACCUUUAGAUUUUCGUUAAGUAUUUUGACUUUCUUAAGCGGGCCCAAAGAAUUGCCAUUGUCUUUAACCUGUUUACCUUUGGGGGUCUUAAUAAUAGGGCUAUCAACCUGCCACUGGAGGGGAAAAUAAAAGUUGUCAACACAUGCAAUCCCUCAAGUUGACAAUCAGAAAAAGGCAAGAGUCAAACUUGUACUGACAUUUCUGGUGUCUCUGAUGGUGCUCUCAUUUACUAAGAAAGAUGCAUCAGGUUGGGUGGCGAUAGGAUUCUCGUCAAUGAAAGUGGCCUUUCUUACAGGCUCUGCAAUUUGAAAACCUAUACUGGGACGUGGAGGAGGAAAGGACCCCAUUCCUUCUCCCACAGCUUUGAUCUUCUUCUUUUUCUUCUUCUGGUCCUCAUCUAAUUAAAUUAACAAAGUCAGUGAUGCGCCGACAAAAAGUUCUUUAGCUAAUAGCACAAAUGCCACACACGUACCUUGCAUCAGUAAUCUGCAUAACUCCGCAUAUUCAGUAGCUUCAUCUUCAAUUUCUUCGUCAGUCUCAACUUGAGAUGGCCUUCGUCUCAUCUUGAGACCCUUAACUCCGUCCAACUUGUCAUUCUUAGACAUGUUAGAUUCUUCCCCCUCCCCACCUUCCUCAGCAUCAAGCAGGUUUUCCAGAUCUCCGGCAAAGGAGUCCAAAUCACUGUUGGCCUCAUUUUCACUUUCAUUCUCAUCACCAUCAUAAGCAGAAAGGGAAGAAAGUUGCUUAUCCCAAAUCUCCUGACACUUUUCUCGAGCCUGCUGUUGCAUCUGCAGGAAAGACAUUCUCUGCCCACGGGCAUACUUGCCUAUAGUUGUAGGGUCAACCUUAACACCAGAUGCCGCCUGCUCACUUGAUAGCUUCCGUAUCAUAGCUAUACGGUGCCAUCGAGUUUGCUUAGCAAUUAUCUCAUCAGGAACAUUGAAUUUGAUAAGAACCUAUAAAGAGAUCAUCCAAACCAAAUCUUAAUUAAGACUUUCACUGGCUUUACAUUAUAGAAGAAAAUUGAAACUUGUAAGAAUGAUGUCCUUUUAAGGUUCCUAGACAUCUGAAAUAAAGAAGUAUACCUCUCGAGCUGCUUCCAUGCUUAAUCUGCGAAGAUCAGCAUCUGUACCAGUGACAGUUGGGGCUCCACGACCAGCUGCUGCCUUUUUCUUCAUAUGCCCGGCCGCAGCUGGUGCUUUUGGUGCAGCUUUGACAAAGCUGAAUCCUAGACCCCGUCCAGAUGGAUCGCCAACCCCAGUAAUUUCCAAACGCUCUAUAUUUGCUCUAUCCUACUCAAACCCACAAAUGAAAACCAGAUAUGUGAGCAUCGGAAAGGUAAAACUAAGGCAUGAGCAAGGACUGAUCAGAAGCAUCAAAUCCAAUUCCACUGACAAGAUUCGGAAACACUUUUCACAAAACUAGUGUACAUGGAGCUGAAAUAGAUUCUAGUGUUGAAAUGAAUGUACUAAUAAUGUCUCAGCCCUGGCAUAUAUAUAAAAACCACGUCUUUACGGAUUAUGGCUGACUCAACCGUAACUCCUAUGUUCCUAACAUAAUAUAUAUAUAUAAGAACUCACUGGCUAUGUAAGCCUUAACAUAGAUAAGUGAUGUUUACCUGAUUUGUACAAGCAACAAAAUUACUGCUCAGAUUCCAUGGCGUUAUCUGCAACUCCCUCUCAAUAUGUGAUGCAGCGGCGAGAGCAAUAGCUUCGUCUGGGAGCUGAGUCAAUGCAGCUGAUAUGCUGGCAGGUAAUGUAAACCGGGUGAUCCCUAAAUGUUUGAGCCGGUACAGCCCAGCUAACAUACUCUCGUAGGAACACACCUAGGCCAACAAAAUAUAGAAAACCAUGCAUCUUAAAGAGUAUAUUUCCGGUAAUAGCAAUCAAAAGCUCAUUAACUGCAAUUCCGAAUAGUGGAAAGCAGACGGGGCAUAUUUCAACCAUGAAAAGAACUUAAAGGGAAAACUAACAUGCUCUGGUGCCACCAGCUUUUUAAGUUCAUUCUCAGGUGGAACUUGAAAAUCAGGUCUCUUGUACCAACAAGGCUGGCCAUUUUUAUCCCUCUGCAUUUUGUACAUUUAUGUAAGGGGUAAGUAUGAUACUAUGAUACAAAGCAUGAUAAAGCAAAAAUAAAAAUAAAAAGAGAGCAACUAUAGAUGCUACUUAUGCAGAAGUGGGAAUUUGAUAAUAUACCUUCAAACCGGCACAAAGUUUCAUGUUCCUUCUGACAACUGCAUCUGUUAAGUUAGAAAAUAAAAAGGACAGCUCAUCUGCAGCAAUUGAGUGGCUCUUCAUAAACUCCCGGUACACAUAAACCAACAUCCUGUUCACCAAAUAAGUCUGUAGAUUCUUUGAUCCAGGAGACAUUACUUCCAUGCGAGGUUCCUGGGAAAAAAAUAAUCUGAGCAUGCCGACUUUAUGAAACCAAAAAAAAAAAUAAGCUGCAGAAUGUCACAAUUAAUUACAAUGCAGGUGGAACUCAUAACCAGACUAAAAUGAGCAUCUCACAUUUAAACACUAACGCCAAAGUACCAACGAAAGUAGCAAAGGUAAAAGCGGUAACGUAAAAGAUAAUAGAAUUUAAUACACCCAGGCUACUAAGCUCCUCUAUUGCGCUACUAAAUCACAAGCAUGAAACAUACAAACUUAUUUUUCUAAUUUUCUGUGUAUAUAUAUAGACAUGCACUGAGACCUUCCUUGGACAAAAAAUCUAAGAGACAAUUCUUGCGAAAGACAAACCUGUUGUCCGACAACAGCUAUCUUGUCAAUACGCCUUAGAGAGAGCUUCCCUUUUGGAGACCGGACCAGCAAAUAAUCUGUUGACUGCAAUCUAUGCGGAAAAACAGGUGCUUUAUACAUGUUUGUUUCAACAGAUGACUGACAGCAACCAGGCUGUAUCUCCCCAAGGAAAGGGGAUUUGUCUCCAGGUUCCAGAAUCAUCACAUUCCCUAAGGUGUCACUUUGAUUGCGCAACAAGUUCCCACGUUGAUCCUCUGAGGAUGACUUCUGAUAAUAUGUACACAAAUUUGCACCCAUUCCUGCAUUGCUGAGCAUCAACGGCCUCUCCUCGCAAUACCUACACAGAUCAAUGAAAAGAAACGGUGACUUCCAAUACGAGUCUUUUCCUGCUGAUGAAACUCCCUGAGCGACUGAAAAUGCCAGGGGCAUUGAAAGAAAAAUCCAGGGAGAUUUGUUCAGUCAAGUUACAGCGAUCACUUUACGGAUUAAAGCAAUCCAGACACAUGUGGUACAAUCGCUUAAGUGAAUAUCUUUUGAGUAAAGGAUAUGUGAAUAAUGCGAUAUGUCCAUGCGUUUUUAUAAAGCACAUCCCUCUAAGAUUUUAUUCAUAUAUACGAGAGCUUGAGAAAAAUAAAGAAGUGGACAUCGAGUAUGUACGGUCAUUCAACAAUCCAGCUAACUUGUUUACAAAAGCUCUUCUGACUACAAUAUUCCGAAAACACGUCUACGGUAUCGGAAUGCGGUAUUUGCGUGACCUGCAACGAGGAAGCUAGGUCCACUACUCUUAGAGGGAAAUUACGACAGUGUAUUCUUUUUUCCUUGUCAUGGUUUUUUGUUCCAGUGGGUUUUUCCAUGACCAGGUUUUUAACGAGGCACCACAUAAUACAAGAUGAAUAAUCAAAGGAGAGUGUUGCAAAGGAUGAUUAAUCAUCUGUAGGACAAAUGUCUCAAGAAUGGCUAUCAUGGUCAUUUACACUUGUCAUUUAUCUAAUUCUUUUUGCAUCAUCAUCAUCUGAACAUUUUGUCUUUUUUUUUUCUAAUGUUGCCGACCUUUUCCACUAUAAAUAGUAGUCCUCCCUCUUUGCAUUUGUAAGGAUGAUAUAAGAAAAUAAUAAAUGAUUAUCUUUCUCCAAGUCUCUAUCACAUCUCUCUCACUCUCACGUUUUGUUUCUCUUCUCCUAUUACACAAAAUCCUUUUUUUCCCACUCAUCUCUCUCACAUCACUUUCACACAUAUAUAUAUAUACAUCCACCUCUCACCCUUUGAUAAAAAAAAAAAAAUCCACCUCUCACCUUAUAUUAUACAACAGACUCCAUAUAUAUUUUUAAACCACUUCCUAUUAUCUCAAUCUUUUUUUUUUGGUAACACUAUUAUCUCAAUCUUCUUAGAAUCCACGUGGCCUGUCUCUACUGCAUCGAUCGUUGAUACAUCGAAAGCUGCAAGAUUACUGAAAGGCGUCUUGUUUAACACCAAGAAUCUGCAACAUAACCCCCGACACUUGGUCCUUAUAUUUUUCUUAGUAAAAAAAUAAUAAGCUACAGCAUGCAGAGAACAUUAUAUUUUAAUAUAUAAAAAUAUAAAAAUAAAAAGAAAUAUGUACGUUUUGCUUAAGAUUUUAUUCACAGGAGACUCAGUUUACGUUCAUGAAUCAUAACGCUCCAGCAUUCACUGAAUAAAAAAAUCCAUCUAAAGAUACAAUCAAAGAACAAUAAGUUAAUGAUAAACCUAUAAAAGAUUCCUAUCAGAAUGAAAACAUCACGGAAUAUGCACCAAAAUCCGGUAAUAAUCGGAAAAUAAAUCUAAAUACAUUUUUCAUUUCUUGUUUUCGACCAAUUUACUUCAACAUUAAAGCUUUUAUCUAGUGCUAACUAUUUGAUAUCAGAGCUUCAUUUAAUAGUGGAAGCUUUGGCACCAAUUGUUAGAUCUAGAUCAAAGUUUCAAAAUAGACGUUAAUUGACAGAAAGAGCUAAUGUUUUUGUCAAAUCAAUUUAAACAUUUUUAUAUACAAAAUGAAGAUUCAACUGUAUGGCAAAAGAUCCUAUAAAAAAGGAAUUCAAAGAUAUUUUCAAAUAAAUCUAGUACUACUAGAAAAGGACCGAUUCUUACUCGUUAAAUAAUGAAACAAAUAAAUGGGAAUUCAACUAAUUCUUAGAAAAUACUCUAAACGUAAACAAGAAUUAUCCAUUUAUGUUUAGCAGAUCUUUUCCUAAUAAAUGAAAUCUUAAGGAAAAGAUAAACGAAUGUAAAAGCAAACAAACAAUCAAGACCAUGUAAAAGAUAAUCUUCUGUUUAUAGAUUACAUGACCAUUAAAAUUUAAAAUAGAAAUAUGAAUGAAUAUGAAAAAAAAAAGAAUAAGAACAAAUAAAAGAAAUAGAAAUAAAUAUUUAUUACUUUUGUUGCAUGUCAAUUUUUAGUCAAUUUUGAUAUAAAAUAUUUUGUUCUAUAGUUCCUUGAAAUAUAAAGACAAGGAAUCAUACACAGCAAAUGUCAAAGAAGAGAUAAUAGAGACGACGCGAAGGUAUUAGAAGCGCCAUGAAGGAUACUCCCGACCAAAACAAAGAUAGAUUGGCAAAUUUAUGUCUCAAUUAACUCCAAAUUUACUAAAUACCAGGGGAUAAGAAAGUAAUAAUUAACAAAAGGCCCAUUCUCAAUGAAAACAAAGUUUUAUACACGACAUUAACACAUCAUAUUUCAAAGUUCUAUUUAAUACCACAAUCAUCACUUUAGUGAAAACCUCAAAAUUUUACAAACAACAAUAGAAAAAAGAAAACAAUUUUCUUUUUACUUACUUGACCUUUACACAGACAGCACAUGACAAUGUUUCUUUUUUUUUUUCAUACAAAUCAUUAGCUAAAGCUAGAAUCCCACUUCUUUUUUAUGGCAUAAAAGAGGAAUGACUAUCUUAAAACACACUCUCUCAGUCAGUGGGAUCUAUCUAUCAAUACCUUUCUCUGCUUCUGCUAACUGAUCUCCAUAAUCUUCUAACAAGUAAUCACAAAUCUCCAGCAACUGAUCUGCCAAAGGCGGUAUCCCUGGGUUACGCCCAUUGUUGUUAUAAAGAUGAGCAUUGAGCUGGAUCUGCCACACAUCGUGUCUAAACUGCUCGCGGUUUCUGUACUCUAUCUUCCGUACCUUAUCCCUGAUUGUCGACAGAUCCAUCGGGCGUUUCACUAUAUCAAAAUAGUCUGGAGCAUCCUUCUUCGAAACCGGUUUCAAGAAGAGCCCUGACACUUCUUCUUUGAGUCUUAGUGUGUCCACAAUGGUUUCCAAGAUGUUUGCUAGCCCAACCUGUUUGUAUAGACGGAGAGAACAGACAGAGAUGAGUUGAAGCUUAAUAUGUAACGCACAUGAUUUGCAAAGAGAAGUUUUACCUCUCCUUUUUUGCGUCUUUUAGGUUGAGGUGCAUAAUCCGCACCAUUCACUUCAAAGUCGGACACAUACCGGCUUCUAACGUUCCGGCCUCUUCUAUCGUUGUUGUUUCUUCGAGGAGGAUAAUCUUCUAGAUACCCUUCUACUAGUUCGGGUUGCAUCUUCUUUUUCUUCUUUUUAUUCUUCGCUUUUUGUCGUUCCUCUUCCUCCCUCUCACUCCGUAGUACCUCUUCGUAUCUCCUGAUCUCAGCUAUCUCGUUGGGUUCUUCUGUUACAUUCAUAUCAUCAUAAUCUCUUCUCCUGCUUAUCUCCUCUUCUUCCCACCACACUCUGUCUUCUUUUGGUCUCCGCUCUAGAGAGUUCUCUGCUACUCUGAAGCUCUGCUGCCUCUGAAAACCCGUCAGUUCUGCCAUUCUUUUUGUUUUCCGGGACUCGAACCGUGGACUCUCUUCAAGACUACUCAUGUCAUGAUCAGUUAUCUCUUUCGAACGUUUUAUUACAAGUUUCUUCUGAGGCUGCUCUCUUUCUGUAGGCGGUCGUAUCACCAGGUGAGGCCUACGAGAUUCAGCUUGAUCUCUAUCCAUGCUUGAAGAUGGCUGCAGAAUAGAUAUAGUGUGCCUGCUUGAGGCAGCUUGAUUUCCAGAGACGCAAGGCUUGUGAGAUUCGCUCUCCCCUCUCUCUCUGCUAUAUGUAGGCAAAGGUCUGUCAGAUUCAACCUUCGAUUCUUUAGGUUUUGCCUUGCUUGAAAUCUUGAGUUUGCUGAUCUUAGAUGUGGUCUUCGUCCCAGUGUCUAUGUCCGACACUGCUGCUUGCUCAGAACUUCCUGGAGCUUCUAAACCAGGUGUAUCUGACAUCGCUCCAGCAGGGAUACCAUAUCUAAACUUCAGAGGGAGACCCCCAGUUUUGUAAGUGGAACUAUCUCCCUUGGGAGUUGCAUCUACGGUGACUUUUAUUGCACUUUUCGGCGCAGCCUUGGUGCUCUUGAUAGGUU
rnacentral:lncRNA from 1 species